GACGAACGCUGGCGGCGUGCUUAACACAUGCAAGUCGAACGAAGUGGCGAACGGGUGAGUAACGCGUAAUCAACCUGCCCUUCAGAGGGGGAAAACAGUUGGAAACGACUGCUAAUACCGCAUACUGAAGGAGGGGAUUGCGUCUGAGUAGCUGGGUGGAGGGGUAACUGCCCACCAAGGCGAUGAACAGGAGCCGGUCUGAGAUGAUGAACGACCCCAUUGGGACGGCGACACGGCCCAGACUCCUACAUAAGUCAUCACUGUUCACUCUUCCGCAAUGGACGACAGUCUGACGUAGCAACUCCGCGUGAGUGAUGACGGCCUUCGGGUUAUAAAUCUCUUUUCAUCGGGACGCGGUACCGGAAUAGAAAGCCACGGCUAACCACGUGCCAGCAGCCGCGGUAAUUC
rnacentral:rRNA from 1 species